UCUUCUGCUUCUUCUUCUCCUUGUUUUUCUUUUCUUCCUGCUUCUCCUUCUUUUUGUUCUUCUUCUAGACAAGAUUCUAGUGGAAGCAGUGUGAGUCCUUCCAAGAGGGAGUCUCAGAGCAGACAAGAAAAGGGAAAUGAAAGUUCUUC
rnacentral:ribozyme from 11 species